UUUCCGUAGGUGAACCUGCGGAAGGAUCAUUACUGAAGAUAAUGGGUCUUGAGACUGCAUUUCAUGCGUGCUCGGCCCUCUAUUCUUUCAUCCACACACACCUUUGUGCACUCAUGGGGAUGUUACAUCCCCACAUUACAUACAAACACCUAGUUUACACGCAUGUCUUCAUAUACUCUACGGAGUUAAUGUACAACUUUCAACAACGGAUCUCUUGGCUUUCGCAUCGAUGAAGAACGCAGCGAACGUGCGAAACGUAAUGUGAAUUGCAGAAUUCAGUGAAUCAUCGAAUCUUUGAACGCAUCUUGCGCUCCUUGGCAUUCCGAGGAGCAUGCCUGUCUGAGUGUCGUGAAACAAUCUCAAUUUCAAUCUUUUUGUUUGGAAUUGGACUUGGGUGUUGUUGUGAAUGGUCAUGACUCAUCCUAAAUGCAUGAGCGAUCUGUCUUUGAUCACACACAAUGUGAUAAGAAAAAGCAUUGUUACAAUCAAGUCAGGAUAGCUUCCAACCGUCGAAAGACAACGCAUAUAUGUCAUUUGACCUCAGAUCAGGCAGGACUACCCGCUGAACUUAAGCA
rnacentral:rRNA from 1 species